rnacentral:rRNA from 1 species
GACGAACGCUGGCGGCGCGCUUAACACAUGCAAGUCGAACGGAAAGGCCUGCUUUCCCUUGUGGAUUGCGGGUACUCGAGUGGCGAACGGGUGAGUAACACGUGAGUGAUCUGUCCCCAACUUGGGUAUAAGCCUGGGAAACUGGGUCUAAUUCCCGAUAGGACUGCAGGGUGGUGCCUGUGGUGGAAAACGAUUUUCUAGUGGUUGGGGAUAGGCUCGCGGCCUAUCAGCUUGUUGGCGGGGUAAUGGGCUACCAAGGCGGCGACGGGUAGCCGGCCUGGGAGGGUAGACGGCGACAUUGGGACACGGAUACGGCCCAGAGUCCCACGCGAGGGGGCAGUGGGGCGAAUUGGACCAAGGGGGGGAGACUGAUGCAGAGACGCGGCGUGGGAGAUGACGGCCUUCGGGGUGUAUACUCCUUUCGAGCGCGAGGAAGCAACCUGGUUGGACGGGUGGUGACGGUAGUGGAAGAAGAAGCACCGGCUAACUACGUG